UACGUAGGGGGCAAGCGUUGUCCGGAUUUAUUGGGCGUAAAGAGCGUGUAGGCGGUCAGGUAGGUCCGUUGUGAAAACUCGAGGCUCAACCUCGAGACGCCGAUGGAAACCAUCUGACUAGAGUCCGGAAGAGGAGAGUGGAAUUCCUGGUGUAGCGGUGAAAUGCGCAGAUAUCAGGAAGAACACCAGUGGCGAAGGCGGCUUCUGGACGGUAACUGACGCUGAGAACGCGAAAGCGUGGGGAGCAAACAGGAUA
rnacentral:rRNA from 1 species